GCCCGCGUAGCACAAUUGGUUAGUGCGUCAGACUUUUACUACAAAAGUGGACAUCUGAAUGUUAUGAGUUCGAGUCUCAUCGCGGGCG